UUUUGCCGGAAGUAGAUAUUUUAAUUAUUCAAAUAAUAUUUUUUUUCGAAAUCAAAUUCCCAUCAACAAAAACUUCAAACCAAAAUUGAAAACUUUAAAUAAACAUUGUAUCCAAAAAGUUUGUAUUAUUAUUUCGCAUCUUCGAAUAAAAUUUAUAAACAAUAAAAGCCCAACCAGUUGGAAACAGGAAAACUCAUAAUGGAAAUAGUUCUGGGAAUAAGAACGAAAAGCAGCCGGUUCAAAUGGAGUGGUAGUAUAGGAUGUGUGGUGGCAAAUCCUUCAGUUUCCUCCACAAUCAAAACAACUGAAGUAAAAGUACAAUUAGAUUGACGUUAGAGGCGAUUUUCUGGAAAACCUCCUUCUCGAAACCAAAUAGCAUUAACCGACAGUAAAACGAAGAGCAGCCAUCCAUCCAUAAAGCGGGCAAAGGUUGGCCAAACCAUACUCUUUGACUUGCUACUGUUUUUCAGAGAGAGUCGAGGCAAUCAAAUUAUAUGUUAUCUGUGUAUAUAUUUCAAAACUCACCGAAGCACAAAAGAUAUUAUUACCAUCUCACUUUUUGUCUGUGUGAGUGUGUAUUGGGCGCAUCUUUGAUUCUGGACAAUUGGUUCAAAUUCCCAGGCAACAUAGAGAUAAAAGGGGAUGAGGGGGCGAAGUUUGAUGGUUGAAAAACUAUAUCAUAAAAUAUAUUAUUAUCUAAUAGGUCUGCGGUAAAAGAGGCAAUCUAAACCUCAAGUGAUGCUAUCAUUUAAGGAAAAGGAAAACACAAAACGCGGUCCUUCCUCACACUGGCUACUGGAAUUCUAGUGGUUUGGCUUCCUGUA